GGAAAUGUGGCUUAGUGGUAGAGUGCUUGCCUAGCAUGCAGGAAGCCCUGGGAUCGAUUCCUCAGUACCA
rnacentral:tRNA from 1 species